UUUGAUAUUUCUUUUUAGCAUCUUUGUAGUUUCAUAACUUGUUAAAGAGUUUUCGACUUUAAUUUUUAGUUAAACGAUACAGGACGUGUGAGUUUUAUUACAGACUCAUACGAUAAAGAGAAAGCUUAAUUUUUUUAGAGAUUUGUUCUUGGAUUGGGACGAUAUAUUUUUGUACAAAGGGGAUUCGGUUUUGUGUAGAAUCCAGCUCCAACCUGCCUCCUUGCUAGUUCUAACCUAAUUUAUCACAUUCAUGCACUAAUAAUUUUUAGACAUGUUGAAUUCCUAUCUCUUAUAACAGCCUAAUUAGACUAAUGUAUGUAUAUAUUUUUAUAUAAUAUUACGUGAGGAAAAAAAAUUAUUUAUAAAAAAAUUAUAUCUGACAUCUGUUAAUCACAUGAAGGAAGAAAACAACACAUACUCUCUCUCUCAACAACCUUUUACCCAACCUCUGUUUCCCUCCUCCCUAUCUUUGCCUAUACAACCCAAAGCCUUUGCUUCAAGCAAUCAAAACCCACUUUCCAAAAAUUUUCAUAUAAAGAAAAAUUAAAUCUUUACAAACCCAAGUAAAGAACCAAAAAAAAAAAACCCCCGAAAAUUGCUCACGUCUCCACCGUCAAUGUGGCGGCCGUGGGGUAAAUCAACGGUCAAGAUUCACGACACCUCCUCGCCCUUUUCCUGCUCUUCCUUCAAGGAUAUCCACCGCCUCUGCACUGACGAUCCUUCUCCUUCUUCUUCCCCCGCCGCCGCCUCCAAGAGAUCCUCCGCCGUUUUCCACCGAGUCCGCCUCGCCAAUUCCAUAAUCCGCUCCUGGUCAACUCGCCCCCUCCCCAACCCGAUUCACAACCCGAAACUCCCCAACUCCAACCCGAACUCCAUUCAGAUGCUCUUUCCCCGAAANNNNN
rnacentral:lncRNA from 1 species